GCUCCAUCCAGAGCUGCUACUGAGAGACCUCCAGGCUUUGUGCUUGGGAAGGGGAUUGCUCAGAUGGGAUGAAAUAUCAGUAGUGCCUGGCUGAAGUUCCUGCUAAAGGAUUUUUGCCUUAAGAUAGUUCAGGGAAACAACAGAACAAAGGAUUCUGUUUUCUGUCUGAUUACAGCCUGGCUCGGUGCUGCGGAUGGGAGCCAGCCCCAUGACACCUGCCCUGGUUGUGUGGGGCAGGACGUUCCAGUGGGCUCCCUGUGCUAACGCUUCCCAGCAGAGCAUCAUCAUUCACCCUUGAGAAACAGAGAUCAAAAAUCAGCCCUUUCACUGGCUGGGGGGUAAGGAGAGGGAAUGAAACGUGAACUAGUUUGUGGGACGUUUGUAGCAGAAAUGCUGUCACAGCCUGAAGCGGUGAUUGAGCACCUGGUGGAAGGCAGGGCCAACCCUGGGGAGCUCAGGUGCAUGCAAUGCAGCUGAGUAACCAGAAAGGCUGGAGCCAGGACCCACCCCUUCCCGGAACUCAUUUAAGGGUUGGCAGUGGAGGUGAGGGGAUCUUCUGGGAGAUCCCUGCUUACUUGAGGUCUUCUGAAGGUAAAAAGCUUUUUUUCCCUUCAUUUCUCUGUAUUGCUGUUGCAUUUUAGUAAAUCCUCCCUUGUGGCAGCUUAGGACCUUGCUGCUCUGCUGUCACUGCUGCAGUUUCCAUUGAGUUGCAACACUGAACAAACAUAGAAAAUACCUCCAAAUUCUAGUUAUGAAAGCAUAUAGUUUUGUCUUUUGUAAGAGGAAGAGAAUGCAACAAAUUUCUUUUCCCGUGGGGAUAAAAAAAAAAAAAAACACCUCUGUUUUGGAGAGUUUUCGGCUGGUCUUUUCAAAGCAGUUGAGCAUUUCUGGCAAGGAAAAAGCCCUUUGGUUCCUCACCUCUCUGGGCAGCCAGCUGACAGGGAUUUUCCAUGCACAGGCUGUUCCCUCUUCCUUGACCCGGACGUUCUUUCUUGUUUAGAGAAAUUUAGUCUUAUCUUGGAAAAAGAAAGUCAGGGUCUCUCGCUCAUCUCUUAUCAGGGUGAAAUGAAAGGCAGCAACAAGGCAUGGGGGUUUCCAGAGGAUCACAAGCAUUUCUGAUGUGUUAUUGCUAUUUGAAAGUCUGGGUCUGAAGUCGAGGCAUCUGCCUCAUUGGUGUUAUUCCCUUUCAGCCUUUUUAGGAUGGUGAAGGGACAAUUCAGAAGAAAUACAAAAGAAAAGGCCAAUUUUUCCCCAUCUGCCCCAGUCGUUUUGCUUCGAAGCUCUGAAACUGGGAUUGCUUUCCCAAUUGUUUGUUUCAGUGAAUGCCUCCAGGCUUCCCCUGCAGCAUCGUGUGGCACUGUGUCAUCUUUACAGAGAGGCUGGCCAGCAUCCCUGCACGGGGAUGUUUUGCCUGGAAAAUCCAUGGAAAACACUGGGAAUCAGAGGCCUGGAAAUCAGCCUAGGCUCACAUAGAAGACUGAGCAGGAGCUGCAGGCACCCACAUGGAGGGCAGAAAGCCUAUGCUCUAAGUGUGGGGAAAACGCACAAAAAUAUAAGGAACGUGCCAAUUGCUGUGAGAAAUGGACAAGAGUGAUGCUAAUAGAAAAAGGUGAAGUACUGCAAGAGAGGAAGCGCUGAUUACAGGCACAGCAGUGCAUAUAUUAACCUUAGGCUGUGUUGAAAAAUAUUCCAGCAACAAGUGCAAAUUCCUGCAUGGGCCAUUAGAAAGCUGCACCUUGCUCUUAUUGCUCUGGCUACAGAUGGACACGGUGAAAAUGUGAGCGCCUGGAGGUUGUCCCCUGUCUGAUGGGACAGACUGUCAUCACUUCUAUCCACUGCUGUCACAGAAUGGUGGGUCAGUAUUCCCCACAAGGCUGCCCCCAAGCAGAACACGCCAUCAGCAGUACCACAGUAUGAUGAAUUAACCAUGGGCUACGGUUAAUAAUGCAUUUGUCACAUUACCUUAUCACUGCUGUAGCUUGUAUCACAAUAAAUUAGUCAAAUCCUGACCUGCUUGCACGCAGCAGGAGUGAGGCAGUUCUCCUGCGUGAACACCUAGGGAUUUGCUCUCCGUUCCUUUAUGCCCAGGAAGGUGGGAAAAGGUCUCUCAGACCCCCACCCCCAGCUCACCCCUAUUACGCCCACUGCCCACAUCCCUCAGUGCCACAUCUCCAUGGAUCUGGAACACCUCCAUGGAUGGUGACCACCUCCCUGGGCAGCUCUGCCAGAGCCCGAUGAGUCUUUCAGACUUACAUCCAACCUGAACUUCCCGUGGUGCAACUUGAGGCCAUUAUCUCUCAUCCUAUCGUUGGUUACAAAAAAUCAGCGAUGGUUUGGCGCACCCAGAAGGAGGCAUUUAAUGGAUGAGUGGAGCGAUGGAGCUCUUUGCUGGAGAAGCCCAGCACUGUACCUGCACCAACACAAAGCCCACUGGCAGGAUCCAUCGCGCACCACUCCUCAGAUGAGCCGUUCUGCUUGCAGUAACGUGAUUACGUGGCUUAAAUGAAAUUAAGCUGUUAUCACAAUAUCCAGCUCCCUUCUGAACCUCUUGUAAAGCAUCCUGCCAAUUUCUGCUCAUCUCUUUAAAAGCACACGGGGCCCGUGACACAGUACAAAUGGAUUUAGCUUCUGCUGCGGUUGACUAGCAAACUCACCAUUAAUUAUUGAUUUGGCCUGUCAAGCUCUAACAUCAAUUACUGCAACCAAGGCACACAGGUCUUUGGAGUUAAAAACAUUCAUAACCUUUGCAGGGGAAAGGCUUACUUUUUUGGCUCCAGAAUACUGUUUUUCUUGUACAACACAUCAUGACUCCUGUACAUACAAUCUCCACUUGCAUGCGGCUGUCUCCCAGCUCAGGUAAGCCUCUGGGCUGAUUAAAUAAUGGCAGUAGAUGGCCCACGGCCAGAUCCUUUGAUAAGCUAAUGGUUAUUCACCUCUGAAACUGAUGCUUGGAUCCCCAGGUGUCGCUAUUUUUUUCCCCUCAGUAUGAAUAUCUUUCUGUUUCAGGCUUGUAAGAAUAUCUUUGCUUUUCAUCCGUAUUCCAGCUUUGAGAUAGGCAGAAAUGGAAGUUAGGGCCAUCAGCGGUGGGGGAUGAAUCAGAUGACAUUUCCCUGGUGUAAUCAGAUUCAGAUUUACUUCUGGAAGAUGGGAAAAUGACUCUGACAGAGCCCCGAAGUCCUGAGCUGAGGAAAUAUGUUUUUGUAAUUGCAUUUGUUGAUGAAGAAAGGAUAAGCAGAGGAUAGAGCAGUGUUUCCUUUCUGACUGAUUCAAGAAAUAUUAGCUUGCCAAUUUUAGAAAAUAUGAAAAAUCACCUUGUAGUUAUUAGGGCUGGGAGUUACAAUGAAUUACAGAAGUCCGUAGAGCAACAUCUCUGAGAGCUUUUACAUAGAUGCAUUUCUUAGCACUGAAAAACAGAGAAAUAAUUCUUCACAUGGGGUUUGUGGGUUUGCAAAUGAAAGCAACAUUUGCUCUUUGCAACACGAGUGCGUGAAAGACUGGAGUCUUCACUCUAACCCCAGUGGACAUUGGAAUCCACAAAGUAAUGCUCACUCUCUACCUGCCUGUGGGCUCCAAAGACGCUCCAGAAGUGCUGCUGGAUCCCAGGCGUGGGCAGGGAGCUGCCAGGCUGUUUGGCCUCCAUUUCACCUCAGGUUUUAUGGUUGGAUCGGGAAUUCCUCUGCCUUCAAUGUUUUUACAGCACCUAUUUUGAGACAGCCUUCAUCCUCUGGUGGCACCGUGUGUUCAAGUGGAUGUGUUGACAAUGGAUUUAGAAGAAACUGCAAAGCUUGAGACUGGAGAGGAGCUGCUGAGUGUAACCCACGGUAUCAAUUUUCUCCCUUCAGGAUCUUCCAUCAAACAUAAAUCAGCAAAGUCCCACUGUUCAGAGUCUCACUGAAGCUCCUGUCCCUUGACACAAAGGGAAUGGAGCAGCUCGAGGACAACGCACUUGUACAUCCAAUGGGGAGGAACAGCUGACAGUCUUAUUCAGCGAGGGCUGAGCCCUGGCAGUGACCUGCCAUCCCUCCGUGGCUUCAGCUCUGUAUCAGCCAAAAGGAAACGCUCAGAUAAAUACUGAGGUCAGGAGAGCUGAUCUGACUGCAGCCCAGCCUGAUGGAAAUUCAUAACGAAUGACUUCACUACGGCCUGUGAGUAAGCAUCUGACCUUAGUGAUGGGGCAACUGAGUCAAUGGUUAGCAGACCAGCCCUUGCAGUCUUCCAACACAAAGCUGCGGAAACAGAGAGCUCACAGAAGCUGGCAGGCUAUGCCUGGAUCCCAUGCUUUGAAAACCAGCAGCAGCUUUCAGUGACCAAUUCAACCUUCUGCCAAAGGCAGCUCUCAAAGGCCACCAGGUAGAUCAGUGAAAACGCUUACGCUCUUAACAAGCUGAAUUAAACAUAAUACAUCUCGUCAGAAGGUUUGGUUCCAUCGCAGGGGUGAAGCCAGCAGUGAAAAUGGAAGGGAAGGAAAGCCCAUAGGAGAUAUGUCCAGAAGAAACGUGUUCUCCUGACUUCCCUCUCAAACUGGAGGAGAAAACUGACCUGGGAUUCAUUUUUGCCUCUGAUUCAAUGUAAUAACUGACUCCUGCAAAGCUAUUUGCUGUUGUGAGCAGCUCUACCUCAGUACUUUUAAAAAUCAUUAUCUGUUAAGACUUCUGCAAACAUACAGUGAGGCUGGCGAUGCCUCAUUAAAGCACUGAAGAAGAGUAUCAUAAAUUUUAUUGCCUCCGCAUUACAUGUUAAUGCCGUAAUGAUACAGAUCCAUUCGGAAUGUAUAAAUUUCCUUAUCACUUCAGCAACAUCUCAUGUUUUUCUGGACAAGCUCUUGAGGAGGGCAUAAAAAUGAAAACGCCAUUAGAAUUCAAGCACAGAAGUUAGACCAGCUCCAUUUUUUUCACUUAAGGAAGACAUUUGCUCUAACCAUGCAGAGAAUAUAUUUUGAAGUAUAACUGCACUGAAAUGUCAGGACAAAUACUAUCCCAGCAGCACUUUGAGGCAAGAGACAUAUCUGUGAUCCUUAACUGCCAGCCCACCAUUUCUCUGGAGGCACCUUAACUUUUAGUUGAGAGUCUCUAUCCAAACACACUAAGGUCAAUGGAAAGAUUAUCAUUGGCUUCUCUCAAACCUUUGGUCAGGACAGAAAAAUGGGUUGUUAUUAAAUGGUGCUGAAGCACAGAGGUUCACGUGGUACGAUUCUUUAUUCUCCAAGAACAUGCUGUUUGCUGCUUAAGCUUGUCAAGCUGUAGCUGUACGUACAAAAAAGAGAUGCAUUAGUGAGAGUUUAAUGCUGUGAGCUUUUCGGCGUUAAUAGUGUUUGAGAGACAAAUGCCAUCAAUAGUUGUCACCUGUGUCUUAUUCCACAUAAACCUGGAACUGGGCUCUAGAUAAACGAGCAUAGAUAAAUAUUACUUAGCCUAUAGAAACCCCCUCCCCCCCGUGGGCUGGGAUUCAUUUUGCAGUGUCACCCUGCUGUUCCUCUGCAGGUUUUUGGUUGUGGUGAGGGAUUUUCAGGACGUGUGUUCUCUUUGCUGUGCAUAUCAGUCACCUUUGUGAGUGACUGUGCAUUUGUGCGCACAUCCAAGGCAAUAUAAAUCGCCUUUCUAUAGCUUCUCAGAGGGACUUAAUCUGUUUAGGAUUGAGCCACCCAUCCUAUAAAAUGGGAGUAGGUUGCAUUAAAUGAUAAGGAUGCUGCAACAUCCAUGUGCUGGAGUUUCAUGGCCACGCUGUCGUGGCGAGGGAGAUACAGAGCAGGGACACUAAGAUGACAUUAUCACUACAAAGCCAGAUUUACCAUUAUCAUUCCCAGUGAUUUAAUUCAGGGCUAUGAUAUCAUUCACUUUGAGUUAAUGCAGAACUGCAGUCUGUAUUUCAAAGUCUACAUUUCCAUAUGGAUAAAAAUACCACUUGCUCACAAAGUGUUCAUAACCUCUCCAUUCUUUCUGGCGCUAGAUUUCUAACCAUCACCAUGGGAGGCUCUCCUAACCCUGCAGGAGAAGGACAUUCCUACUUCAAGCUAUCACCUGGAGCUGGGACAACAUACAUUGGGAUGGAGGGAGCAGGUCCGUAUCCCUUAGCAUCCAGGAACUUCUCACCAGGGUGACGGAGCCAAACUCCAGCUGCAGGCCGGUACGUGGCCAUCACACACCCAAAUUCUGCACAGCUUUUUUCAUCCUUGCGACCCCAGUGGAGAAGUGUUUUAAAAAGAGAGAAAUAAAGCAAACACAUUUAGGAGUCGUCAUUUUAAAGGCUGGGUGAAGUCUAAAAAAAGAAAACCAAACAAGGAAUCAUAGGAAAAUCUUACGAAAAUGCAAGAGGCCCCUGAGUGUUUUGAUCACUAAAGCUGUCCGGAGGUGUCACCAGACGUUUUUCUCAUCAUGCUGGAAAAACCCUGCCCUGGGAUAGGUUUGUUCUGUUCUGCUCCGGGAGGGUUGGUUUGGCCUUGCUGAAGCUGAGGGUGGAGCUGGGAAUGAAGCCUACUUCAUGGUUGAGCUGUGGCUUUGAUCUCAACUACGGAGAGACUAUCACCUCUCACCAUAAUUUGGGAUCUGCCACAAAUAUUUCAACUUCAGGCUUUUUUUCCCCCCCCCUCUUUCCUUUUCUGUGCUUUAGGUAUUUUCCUCCUUUGCUUUCAUAAUUUCGGGAGCUUGACCUCUGAGCAAUGUUGGCAGCUGUGUAUGCCAGUGUUGACAUCCCAACCGUGUACAGCUACGUACAGCUGCACAGCCCACAAACCUCUGCAGUCAGAAGGUCAAACCACCCCAGGAAAAAUAAAAGAACUUUUAAUUUGUCUACUCCCAACACCUUUCAUUUUAAAACCUUAAUGCUUUUAAGAACACAACUGGCUCCUUUCUAGGGGCUGCUCAGCCUUUUGCCAGACCUGGCACUGCUGCCUCUCAUCCCCAGUGGGCAGGUCAGCGGGGACAAAGUCUUGGCUCAGGACAGCAGUACCGAUCAGCUUCACAAGAUGCAUCAAGGCCAGGGAGUUGGCUCUGAAUAAUUCUUCUUUGGACCAGGAACUACAUGAAAUCAGCAGUCUGAGCCUCAUUCUUGCCCUGUCCUGGAUUCUGUGCAGCUAUGUGUACUUGGUAAGAGGUCAACCUGGCCCCGGAGAGCCUCAGAGGUAAAGUCAAGUAUGUUCUUGCCAUUGAAUUACUGAAACACCAAGCCCUUGAGGUAAGCAAAUGCAAUAUACAGAACCUACAGAACAUAAGAUCAAAAAAAGGGAAGAACUGUUUUAAUUUAGACUUGUAAAUUAAUGUCUUGUCCUUAGCUACUUGAUUAAGAGAUUUUUUGGGGACAGACUGAUGUUUUUUAAAUCGUAAGCAUCACUCAUGCAGCGCUUCCGUUGCUUUAGAGCUAUUCUGCCCAGAACAGGGGGUUACAGGACACCAGAGACAUCAACACGAUGUCGAAAUGACCGGAUGAUUUCACCAGCACCCAGAGAUGAUAUUACAAUUUUCAUUACAUCCCUGUUACAGCAGCACGUUUCAAUGCCUAUUUCUCUCACCCACUGCUGAUUUUCAAAUCCAGGUCUCCCCGAGAGACUCCUGCAAUGCUUCCUGUGCAUUCUCUUGCAGCCUCAAUGUGCUGUGAGGAUAAGAGGCUGCCACAGGUUGAACCAUGGGAGUUAAGGCACUUGACACAACUUACAUACACAAUGACGGGCAGAUGAACGAAGCUGGGAUCUCUGAUACUGCUGAGCUGCAGCACUACCAGAAGGUCAAGGAACUGUGUCCAGCCAUUCCUGCAUCAGGGUUUCAGGCACCUGUUAUCACCACCACCCUGUUUGCUUCACUUGUGUACCUGUGCAGCACAGAGGGAAAGCACUCAACCCAGAUCCAGGAAAAGAAUCCGAAAUGGGACAUGAAUACUGGAAUUAGUAAUUUGUCCAAGAGUGAAACAUAAAAGAAAUUUCUCUUAAGAAAUCAUCUUAAAGAUGGUAGAUAAUAGACUCUAUUUCACUGUACUUUACCGGAGAACAUUUUGCACCACGAACACAGGAGCUCUCCAGGUAGCUGAAGAAGCCUUUGAUUUUGAUCUUUGUUUCCCAGUCCUUAUGAAGUGGCGAUAGAAAUGGAGAUGAGGCAGAGAUGAUAGUUGUUGGCAUUCUGCACUGGCGCCUGGGAAGGGGAAAAAGCAAAUUUUUUGCAUGUUUAACUGAGCUUACUUCACUAGGGAUGCUGCUGGCCUCGUAAGGCUAUUGUCUUGGUACAAUAUGUUUUUGUACUUUUAUGAAUGGGCUAUUUAUGUAGAUUCUAUGGAAGAUCUUCAUUUGCUGAAAGACAAUGGAGAGAGAUGAGGAUCUCUUCCACAGGGCUACAGAUGUGAAACUGGAGGGUCCCAUGAGUAUUUCAGAGAUAAAGUCCAUUGUCCUUAGACUCAAAUGGAAGAAAUGUUCAAGUUUUAAACAGCAACAAAACACAACUCCGCUCUUUGUUGUCUUGAAUAAACUUAUGUGUUGCAUUUUCUUUCUGUAGGUGAGAAAACAGAUAGCUUCAGUUUCUUUCUUCCUGGGAUCUAAUCAAAUAACUAAAUUCUUCAGGAAUCUUCUCACAGAGUCAUGCAUGUGCUUGGGUCACACUGAUCCCAGUGGGCUGUAGCUUCCCUGCAAGAGGACGUUGGUUCUCACCACCAUAAGGAACGAGACUCCAUUUCCAUCUAUCUAUAUAACAAAAGGUUACUUUGGCUUCUGAGUGGGUACGUUAACAGCAUGAAUGUGUUUGUACGCUCACCAGGAGAUCUGUCACGAAUUAAAGUAUGGCUGGUAUUCUUCAUAAUUACUCUCAUGUAAAUUUCACAUUUGUAAAGCAGCCAUUUCUAUUCCAUUAUUUCCCUUUUUAUUGUGUGUCAUUUUUUUUUUACUGUAUUUGUGCCUUCUUGGGUGGUAAAUAACGGUUGAAUUUGUGACAUAGACAUUGGUCAGGUUCCUAGAAGACAAUUAUGAACACCUUCUUUGAUCUGCUGCACAGCACAGUCCAAAGAAACCAAGUCAUUAUUUCUGUCUUCAGCUCAUAAAACGCACUUGAAGUAUAGACUAUCUCUCAGGGAGUUAUUGUCUUGGUGCAUUGAAAUAAAGACCUCAAAAAUUGA